rnacentral:rRNA from 1 species
UGAACGCUGGCGGCGUGCCUAAUACAUGCAAGUCGAGCGAACAGACGAUGAGCUUGCUCCUCUGACGUUAGCGGCGGACGGGUGAGUAACACGUGGAUAACCUACCUAUAAGACUGGGAUAACUUCGGGAAACCGGAGCUAAUACCGGAUAAUAUAUUGAACCGCAUGGUUCAAUAGUGAAAGACGGUUUUGCUGUCACUUAUAGAUGGAUCCGCGCCGCAUUAGCUAGUUGGUAAGGUAACGGCUUACCAAGGCAACGAUGCGUAGCCGACCUGAGAGGGUGAUCGGCCACACUGGAACUGAGACACGGUCCAGACUCCUACGGGAGGCAGCAGUAGGGAAUCUUCCGCAAUGGGCGAAAGCCUGACGGAGCAACGCCGCGUGAGUGAUGAAGGUCUUCGGAUCGUAAAACUCUGUUAUUAGGGAAGAACAAAUGUGUAAGUAACUAUGCACGUCUUGACGGUACCUAAUCAGAAAGCCACGGCUAACUACGUG